AGGUAUUCACUAAAAAAAGAACCAGCAACAUAAGUACUAAUCACUCAGCACAGGUACAAGUAUUCUUCAAGGAAUUGCUUUUGACAGACUACCAAUACCACCUAGCUCCUUAUGUCUGCAGUAUUUCAGCAAUCACCUUCUAAGUACAAGUAAAAUCAGGACUUGUCUCCGCUCGGUUUUCUGAAGGUAUAAAAGGUAACAAACAAGAGGAUACAUGAGAGGAGAAGAAAGAGCAAACCUGUCUUAUGAGAUGGCUCUUACCUUUGAUCAAUCUUAUUUUCUAUCAUGUAAACAUUAUAAUAUCCAAACAACAUAAAAUAUUAUAAAUAUAGUAACUUGAGUCAGAGGACUCAGAAAUGAGGAGUCAGCUGCAUAAACUAAAGAAAGGCAUACUUUUUUUCUGUGUUAAAUACUCAAUAGGACUAUCCCACCAUCACAAAUUUAUUUUUAUGCUCAGGGUAUUAAAUACGGGCAAAAUAGAUUAACAGAUAUCUGUAACGCCCCUUCUGUCACAAGCUGUUGCAGGUUUUCUCUUUUCUCUGAUGAAGAAGAACCUGUUCUGACUUUGGAUAGUUAAAACAGUUGAGCAGCUCAAAGAAGAAUUAAGUGCGUGCAGCCAGCAUGUCUGUGGCAGGAGGUAUUAUAAUGCCAGUUAACUGAAAAAAAAAGUUCUACUUUUUGCUGGCAACUUCCUGUCUCACUGGCUCUGGUUUAGUUUCCAAGGACAUCAAUACAGAAAGGUGCUGAUCUUUCUGAGUAUUUUUUUUUAUUAGGUGAUAUAAAAGCAAUGCAGAACUAGAUGAUGUCAUUCAUUUCUUGCUGAUGCAUGAUUGCAUGAUGUCUUAUCAUCCCUACUAACGACUUUACAAAGAUAUUAAGAAGAAAGAUGAGUGGUAGGUGAAAAAUUGUAUAACUCUAUAAGAAUAGGAUUUGAAUUCAGAUGGGGCAGAAAAAUCUGCGUUUUCAAGUGAAUUUUUGACAUCCCCUUAUUAUUAAAAUAUAAAAAGCAGAAUGGGGCUUUCCCAAAAUACUGGAAUAUAUAUAAAUAUUUUACUUUUUUUUUUUUUUUUUUUUUAAUUUUGCACACGGUAAAAGAAAAGAUGAGAGUGCUAGAAAAUUCAGUGCUGAAUAGAGACAAGUGGUGUGAAAAAAAAAUGAGAUGGCAUUCAAUACUUAACUUCCAAUUAUCCCUGUUAGAGUUCUAAAAAUCUCAGGAAUUUUUCAUGAACACAAAGAUGCCUUCUGAGAUUAAGCUCUCAUGCAGGCUUCCUAAAUUUCUUGUUGUUUUUUUCCUACAUUUCUCAACAGGCAAGCCUCUCAUUUUGUGAAAUGGACACACAAUUACAAAUGUGUGUUUAAAUGAAAACAAAUUAAUAAACCAUGGGGUUGUGAAAUUAAUUGCAUGAAACUUAGUCAGAUAUAAGACUUAGUAAGGAGGGCAGCUAAGAUGUUUGCUUAUGGGUACAGAAAGAUGUAGCUUGUUGUUUGUUAGCUUCCUGAUUAAUUAGCAAAACAAAGAAACAACAACAACAACAAAACAACAAACAAUGGCAACAAACAAACAGAAUUUUCCUAGCCCAAUGCAGGAAUGGUAGUUACAGUCACAUGCUGGCUAAUGCAGUCACCAGCCACAAAGGACAGAUGGCAGUCUCUGAGGAUGCAUUUGUACAGAAAGAGAAAUCAUCACCUCUGGAGUUUUUAGGUGAAAGAGAAAGAUGGGAGAAAAACAAUAAAGUGUCUGUUUCUGAGAUUGUAAAACCUGACAUGUCCAUCCCAAAACAAUAAUAAUAACUUGCUUUUCCUCUUACCAUUGGUUGGUGGCACCUGGUUCUUUCUUGACCUGUGAUCAUAUAGCAUUUAAUUCCUGUUUCACACAAGUUUACAGAACCACAGAAGCUUGUGGUGAAUCACCACCAGGGUGCUUUAUGGAAACAGCUUUCUGUCCGUUGAGAGCUCAAAGCUUUCCAUUGAACUAAGCAUGUAACAUCCAUAUAUCCAAAGGGGGAAAAAAAAAAAAAAAGUAAUAUUUGCCAAUUCUGUUAUUAUAAAAAAUGUGUGCUUUUCAGAGUUGGCAUGAUGUGACUUAUUAUUAA